GGAAUAUUGGUCAAUGGCCGAGAGGCUGAACCAGCCAUGCCGCGUGCGGGAGGACGGCCCUAUGGGUUGUAAACCGCUUUUUUGAGGGAGCAAUAAGGUCUACGAGUAGACUGAUGAGAGUACCUUGAGAAUAAGCACCGGCUAACUCCGUGCCAGCAGCCGCGGUAAUACGGAGGAUGCAAGCGUUAUCCGGAUUUAUUGGGUUUAAAGGGUGCGUAGGCGGCUUAUUAAGCGUGAGGUGAAAUCCCGGAGCUCAACCCCGGAAUUGCCUCGCGAACUGGUUAGCUGGAAUGCUCCUGCCGUGGGAGGAAUGUGUGGUGUAGCGGUGAAAUGCAUAGAGAUCACACAGAACACCGAUUGCGAAGGCAUCUCACGAAGGGGCGAUUGACGCUGAGGCACGAAAGCGUGGGGAUCAAACA
rnacentral:rRNA from 1 species